rnacentral:lncRNA from 1 species
AAUGAAUACCUCAUCUGCUGCCCCUAGGAGAUUAUGUACUACCAUGAUAGUGAGACUGUGAGACAACUACUGACUGCAGGAAGAUCAAUCAAAAGUUGCAAUCCAUUCAGGAACAACAGAAAGACUGCAGUGCCUUAUGUUACAUGAAGCCCUUGGCUGGAGGAACUAAAUGAUUUUUACAAACAUUGCUUCAAGAACAAAAAGGAUGCCAACAAAGAAAUGUGUGCCCAGGGAAGGAAGAUAGGCUGGCCAUGUGGUUGUUGUGAUGGAUUACCAACAGACAGCUGCCUAAAUGCUACAUCACUACCUUGUCAUGUCAGGAGAAGUUGAGGAAAAUCCCCAGUCUGGUGUGCAGGACCUGGCAUGACAAAGUUUUGAAAGGACAUGGACAAGAGUCAGAAUGGACAGGCAUGGAUGAGCUGUUAACGAUUUUCUGCAUUUGAGAAAAGCAGGAUGUGUCAUUUAUCUCUAAGAGACAUGGAUUAUUUUUCAUCAUUUCAUGAAGACUCAAAUGAUCAUGGCUAUAAAUUUUCAGAAAUUAAAAUAAGCAGUAAACUGAAAGAAAGCUAUGGACUACAGAAAUCAUGGGUCAAAGACAAGGUAUCUGUCACCAGUCCCUCAUGUAAAUGAAAAUGGGCAGAAUGACUUCAGCUCAAUUUGAACUUGACAUAUGGUGGACCCUAAACAUUGGAUGAUGACUGGAAGGCAAACAAGAAUGAGAAAAAAAUAAGACAAGGGUAAAUCCACAAGCAAACAAGUAUGAAUAAGAUUAUUAUGGGAUACAAAGGAAGAGACACUGUCAUAAAAGGAAUUUGCAAUAGAUGAGGCUGAAUAAAGGGAGGUACUGGAGUGACUAAUAUCCA